rnacentral:rRNA from 1 species
UACGUAGGUCCCGAGCGUUGUCCGGAUUUAUUGGGCGUAAAGCGAGCGCAGGUGGUUUAUUAAGUCUGGUGUAAAAGGCAGUGGCUCAACCAUUGUAUGCAUUGGAAACUGGUAGACUUGAGUGCAGGAGAAGAGAGUGGAAUUCCAUGUGUAGCGGUGAAAUGCGUAGAUAUAUGGAGGAACACCGGUGGCGAAAGCGGCUCUCUGGCCUGUAACUGACACUGAGGCUCAAAAGCGUGGGGAGCAAACAGG